CGUCAACCAUCCAGCUGUUUGGGGUGAUACAAACAAACAUCUGGUUGGUUGAGAGA
rnacentral:pre_miRNA from 1 species